rnacentral:rRNA from 1 species
UACAGGGGGUGCGAGCGUUGUUCGGAUUCAUUGGGCGUAAAGGGUGCGUAGGCGGCGCGGUAAGUCGGGUGUGAAAUCUCGGAGCUUAACUCCGAAACUGCAUUCGAUACUGCCGUGCUUGAGGACUGGAGAGGAGACUGGAAUUUACGGUGUAGCGGUGAAAUGCGUAGAUAUCGUAAAGAAGACCAGUGGCGAAGGCGGGUCUCUGGACAGUUCCUGACGCUGAGGCACGAAGGUCAGGGGAGCAAACGGG